CCAAUAGCGUAUAUUAAAGUUGUUGCAGUUAAAAAGCUCGUAGUUGAAUUUCGGGGUCAGUAGGUCGGUCGUGCCACUGGUAUGAACUGGUUUUACUGAUUCCUCCCUCUUGAAGAACUGUAAUGCCAUUAAUUUGGUGUUGCAGGGAAUCAGGACUGUUACUUUGAAAAAAUUAGAGUGUUUAAAGCAGGCUUUAGCUUGAAUACAUUAGCAUGGAAUAAUGAAAUAGGACGUUUGAUCCUAUUUUGUUGGUUUCUAGGAUUGACGUAAUGAUUAAUAGGGAUAGUUGGGGGCAUUAGUAUUCAAUUGUCAGAGGUGAAAUUCUUGGAUUUAUUGAGUACUAACUACUGCGAAAGCAUUUGCCAAGGAUGUUUUCAUUAAUCAAGAACGAAAGUUAGGGGAUCGAAGACGAUCAGAUACCGUCGUAGUCUUAACCAUAAACUAUGCCGACUAGGGAUCGGAUGAUGUUAAUUUUUUAAUGACUCAUUCGGCGCCUUACA
rnacentral:rRNA from 1 species